GGAGAGGUGGCCGAGCGGCCGAAGGCGGCGCCCUGCUAAGGCGUUGAGCAGGUCUCCCUGCUCCGAGGGUUCGAAUCCCUCCCUCUCCG
rnacentral:tRNA from 1 species